AUUGAACGCUGGCGGCAGGCCUAACACAUGCAAGUCGAGCGGAGCGGCGGACGGGUAGGUAAUGCCUAGGAAUCUGCCUGGUGGUGGGGGAUAACGUCCGGAAAGGGGCGCUAAUACCGCAUACUAGCAGAUGAGCCUCGGUGGGAUUAGCUAGUUGGUGGGGUAAAGGCCUACCAAGGCGACGAUCCGUCACUGGCCUGAGAGGAUGAUCAGUCACACUGGAACUGAGACACGGCCCAGACUCCUACGGGAGGCAGCAGUGGGGAAUAUUGGACAAUGGGCGAAAGCCUGAUCCAGCCAUGCCGCGUGUGUGAAGAAGGUCUUCGGAUUGUAAAGCACUUUAAGUUGGGAGGCGUUACCAACAGAAUAAGCACCGGCUAACUUCGUGCCAGCAGCCGCGGUAAUUC
rnacentral:rRNA from 1 species